UUGUUUUUCAGAAAUUAUAUAUAUAUAUAUGUAUGUAUGUAUGUAUAUAUAAUACUUAAUAAUAUAUAGACGAUAUUAAAAUUUAUGCACUUUCUCUUGAUUAUAGUUUCCAAACAGCUAAUCAAAUUAAGAGGUCAAGAAGAGUGUCGCUUUGUAUGUCAAACCAUUCACAGCUCUCAUACUAUGGCAUAGCUCUCAUAAAUGGCAAGCAUUAUUGACUAAAGAUUGAGAAAUAUUGUUCGAUAGAAGACGAAUAAAUGUACAAUUUCUUGGCUAUAUUUUAAGAAAAUUUAUCAUACUAUAUUUUAUAAAGGUUUUUUUAGCACCAAACACAGAAACAGCAUUUCAUUUUUAUUUCAUGAAUUAAUCUUAAUUUACACGAUGUUUCAUAUUGAUCGCGACGCCGAUCCUUUAGCGGCAGACAUUUACAGCUUCGUAAUGUCGCCUGCGAACGAAUUUGCAUGUUUAGCACCCACCGUCGACUAUUUUAAUUGCAUAAUCGUCGUGCUAAGUCUUCCUACGUGCGGCGCUGAUUUCACGCACGAGCCUCUUUACGCGCUUGCGUAAUUCCUCAGUAAAGUAAUGCAAACGAAACAGUUCCUUUUGUUUCGAACGCAUUUUCUUUGUUACGCCGGUGCAAGAGGUUAAUCCUUAUAUUUCCUGAAAACAUCAAAGCUGAAUCUAACACUACGGAAAGCACUGCUCAAAAUAAAAACUAACGGAAAUGUACACUAUUAAAUUUCGAUACUUAUCGCAACAAAAUAAUUGAUUUAAUGAAUAUGAAUGAUUUAAUUACAAGGCGACUGACAAUGGAAGGUGAUGGAAUAAAAGAAUGGUACAGCAGCCCCGCAGCGUUCUAAUUACCUGGCGUCUUCCUUUCAUUUCGCAAAUCCACAUGUGUGUCAAGAUGCAUCGCGCGUGUGGACACGCAGUAUUAGAGACGAAUGUAAUCGGGUAAUACCAUUUGACAUCUCGCAAGAGGAAUCGAGCAACCUCGACCUGCCGUGCCGCGCCGCAUCCUAUUAGGAAAUCCGAAUUCUAGCCACGAUCGAACGUUGAUCGCGCUUGCCUGAGGCAACAUCCGGCAUGAAUCAACAAGAUCAAGUCGAAGACGAUUGCCAUAACUGGAUUUACCUUGGCACGUAAUAAACGCUGAUUAAUUAGCCUUAAACGAGUGUGACUCAUGCUUCUGCGGUUGUCCGAUCGCAAUUUAUGGUACAUCGUUGUAGAAACAAUCAACAGUCAGUUUUACUACACGCAUUAUGUGAGAAAUAUCUGUGAGAAAUGUAAAUUAAUGCACAAAGUGACCUUGGUCGAAGGACGGUGAUUAAAAGACUAAUUCUUGCCGAAACAUCCUAUUAUUAUCCUGUAUGGAGUCCGUUGCGUGUGAGAAAUUGUAUGUCGCACUGCUUCUGUUUACUGUAGAAAAAUAUACGAGACGGUAUUGGCGCUCGUCAUCUAAUAACAUCGUUGUCUAUAUCCUGACGUGCACGAAUGUAGGAAGUAGGGUCGAGUUACAAGUCACGUGAAAUACGAGAAUAAGGCGCAAAAGAUGAAGCAUCACGAAGACUACCUAACUGUCAGAAAUCGACACGAACAGCAGAAUUAAAUUUGCGAAGAGCGACGAAAAGGAAUGUAGGAAUUAAGUUCACAUUAAAAAGGUCAGUACACAUACUCCAUACGAUAUAUCCACAGAAAGAACUUUGCUGAAGUAUCUAAAAAUUUAAUUGAAUACCUGUAUGCACUGUUGGCAGCAGAAUUUAAUGAAAUACAACGGAAGCAAAUUUUA